CCCUANUAACGGCGAGUGAAGCGGCAAAAGCUCAGAUUUGAAAUCUAAUUUAUUUAAUAAAUUCGAAUUGUAAUCUGUAGAAGGUUGAAUGGCUGAAUAUUCUGAUUUAAAUUAUUUGGAAUAAUAUAUCAUAGAGGGUGAGAAUCCCGUGAUUAUCAGAAAAUAAGUCAAUUAAUUCACCUUUCGACGAGUCGAGUUGUUUGGGAAUGCAGCUCUAAAUGGGUGGUAAAUUUCAUCUAAAGCUAAAUACCUGCCAGAGACCGAUAGCGAACAAGUAGAGUGAUCGAAAGAUGAAAAGCACUUUGAAAAGAGAGUUAAAAAGUACGUGAAAUUGUUGAAAGGGAAGCGCUUGCGAUUAGACUUGAUAUUUAAAUUCGAUUAACCUACGGGUUCAAUUCACUUUUUAUUUAUCAGGCCAGCAUCAAUUUAAUGAAAUUAAUAAAAUUAAAUGGAAUGUAGUAAUUACUUCGGUAGUUAUGUUAUAGCCAUUUAAAUAAUUAAUUUAUAUUAGAUUGAGGUCUGCUCUUCGGAAAGGAUGCUGGCAUAAU
rnacentral:rRNA from 1 species